rnacentral:rRNA from 1 species
UACGGGGGGAGCAAGCGUUGUCCGGAAUUAUUGGGCGUUAAAGAGCUUGUAGGCGGUUUGUCGCGUCUGCUGUGAAAUUUCGGGGCUCAACCCCGAACUUGCAGUGGGUACGGGCAGACUAGAGUGUGGUAGGGGAGACUGGAAGUUCCUGGUGUAGCGGUGAAAUGCGCAGAUAUCAGGAGGAACACCGAUGGCGAAGGCAGGUCUCUGGGCCAUAACUGACGCUGAGAAGCGAAAGCAUGGGGAGCGAACAGG